UAAGAUUUGUGUCAGAGUGAUUCUAUAGUCAGCAUUUUGUUCAGCUUGUACUAUAGAUUUUCGUCGUGCAAGAGUCGUCUAUUAAGGAAAUGAUCGGACACGGGCGUCCGUCCGGACGGACCGCUCGCUCGCGGCGCGGCCCCGUUAUUAACCCAAACAAGGUCAGAACACAUAUAGCUCUAUGAGACCCGUUUCGCACC
rnacentral:lncRNA from 1 species